rnacentral:rRNA from 1 species
CCUACGGGGCGCAGCAGUGGGGAAUAUUGGACAAUGGGCGAAAGCCUGAUUCAGCAAUGCCGCGUGUGUGAAGAAGGUCUUCGGAUUGUAAAGCACUCUCGACGGGGACGAUGAUGACGGUACCCGUAGAAGAAGCCCCGGCUAACUUCGUGCCAGCAGCCGCGGUAGUACGAAGGGGGCUAGCGUUGCCCGGAAUGACUGGGCGUAAAGGGCGCGUAGGCGGUUUAUGCAGUCAGAUGUGAAAUCUCCGGGCUUAACCUGGGAACUGCAUUUGAGACGCAUAGACUAGAGGUCGAGAGAGGGUUGUGGAAUUCCCAGUGUAGAGGUGAAAUUCGUAGAUAUUGGGAAGAACACCGGUGGCGAAGGCGGCAACCUGGCUCGAUACUGACGCUGAGGCGCGAAAGCGUGGGGAGCAGACAGGAUUAGAUACCCUUGUAGUC